CCAGCCAUUGGUUCCAUUGGGGUUUUGACAAGACUAUUUCUGGGAAAAGCCUACCAUAUUAUUGUCUCAGCUGCUACAGACAUUAUGAAGUUAUAACAAUAUUAAUAGCAUUUUACAGACUUCUUGUUUGUAGACUAGGGGAGAUAUGUUAGCCUUUGCAGAGGAGGGGAGGAAAUUGAAAAGAUGAGUCAGAGCCAGAUGAGAAAAGGGUUGGGAUGCAAUGACAAGAAAUUUUGACUUUAUGUAGGAUUAUUCAGAGAAGAAAAGAGGAGGAAGUGAAAUGCUAAGACUGAUUUUUUUUUUUAAAAGAUAGAUUUGAUAGCAUGAGAAGAAUGGAUUUGAAAGGCGAUAAUGGAAAGGAUGCAGAGGCACCAAUUUGGAAUUUACUGUGAUGUUUUAGGCAAUAGAUGUGUUGUUAACAAUUCAUGGCGUGUGUUUCUGUGUCGGAGGCAGGAGGGAGCUGAAAAGAUGCAGUUUUAUCUCCAAAGGAAAGGUGGCCCUGAUGCCUGUAUUAAAAACAACAACAACAACAGCAACAUAGGUGAUUCUUAUGGGCAUCAGGAUUGAAAACCACUGGACCAUUGCUUUUAGAGAUGGUGCCAUGGCCAGAGACAAAGGUCCACUAUCCAUUGGUUGAUUUCCAUUCUUCUGUGGAGGAUCCUGCUGGUGAGUUCCUAUUACAAAAUUGAAAUGGUAAUCUCUGGGAGUUAAGGUUGCAAACAGGUAAGAACAGUUUUUUCUACAUUUUUAUUCCACAUACUCUUCCUCUCCUAACCUCCUCCCAUAACAUUGGCUAACUUAUCUAUUUUGCCUUGCCUCUUCCCAUCUGAAUAUUUGCAAGCAAACAUAUAACAAUGGCUCUAAGUGGUGCUAAUUGGCUUGAGUCAAAUGUAAGAUUUUCAGAAAUUUUGUGAAGUAGUUGUUAAACACAAUGAUUAUAUUUAUUUAUUUAUUUUUUGAAACAUCCUUUUGCUCUUGUUGCCCAGGCUGGAGUGCGAUGGUGCGAUCUCAGUUCACAGCAACCUCUGCCUCCUGGGUUCAAGCGAUUCUCCUCCCUCAGCCUCCCAAGUAGCUGGGAUUACAGGCACAUGCCACCACGCCUGGCUAAUUUUGUAUUUUUAGUAGAGACGGGGUUUCUCCAUGUUGGUCAGGCUGGUCUCGAACUCCCGACCUCAGGUGAUCCACCCGCCUCGGCCUCCCAAAGUGCUGGGGUUACAGGCAUGAGCCACCACCCCCGGCCAACACAAUCAUUGUUAAAAAAUUAAAAUAUAUAAAACAAUUAAUUUAUAUUAAUAUAAAAUAACUCAACAUUCAAAACUUAUUACUUCCUAAUUCCUUUAUCACUUUUAACUAUUAUCUCUGCUCUUGAGGUUAUAUAUCAAUUGUCUGGUGAAAGAGAUAUUCUUUGCAUCUCUUUCAAACUUGGCCCUCAGAGACUUCAUGUUGGUAGCUUGAAAUCAGCCAGGUGGGAGUCUUUAUACUACAGCAAUCAGCAAAUGGUGCAAAUCAGGGCUUGAUUUAAUGUUUUGUUGAUUGCCUACAUUUUAGAAAUGAUGGAGAAAAUGUUAAAUGCUGAAUAAACUUAAAAGUGUGUCCUGUCUGUGGCAAUGAUAUUGCGAAUAGCAUAAAAAACAUGAAGAAAUUUCUGCCAGUAUUUACAAACUGUUAUCUAAUUUAGCAAAGAAGUCACUCACUUUAUUGAUGAAUGAGUGAAUUUCUAGCACAUGGCUUAUUUCACUUUCAUCUUAUUCCUUAAUGUAAACAAAAUUAUCAACCAACAUUUUGUCAUAACUACACUCAUUUCUUAAUGAUGUGAGUGAUUUCCGUGCUGAAUUGGAUAGUAAUCAAGCAUAUAUUCAU
ensembl:lincRNA